rnacentral:rRNA from 1 species
UGGGGAAUAUUGCACAAUGGAGGGAACUCUGAUGCAGCGACGCCGCGUGAACGAAGAAGGCUUUCGAGUCGUCAAGUUCUUUUAUAUGGGAAGAUAAUGACGGUACCAUAAGAAAAAGCCCCGGCUAACUACGUGCCAGCAGCCGCGGUAAUACGUAGGGGGCUAGCGUUGUCCGGAAUCACUGGGCGUAAAGGGUUCGCAGGCGGAAAUGCAAGUCAGGUGUACAAGGCAGUAGCUUAACUACUGUACGCAUUUGAAACUGCAUAUCUUGAGAAGAGCAGAGGUCAGAGAGAUUUUUAGUCACGCGUUGAAAUGCGUAGAUCUUAAAAACAAUACCGGUGUCUAUGGCGGCUUACUGGGCUCAUUCUUCCGCAGAGGAACGAACGCGUGGGUAGCAAACAGG